rnacentral:misc_RNA from 1 species
CAAACUGAAGUUUAAAAAUUUAGAUACAUUACUGUUAUAAACUCUUAAAAUGAGAUACCACCUGUAUAAUUUAUCAAAACCAGAUUCACACAAGCAAUGUAGUUUAGUAACUAAGAAAUUUUUCAGCAAACGCUAUUUUUCACGCUCCAAGUAUGUUUCUUACAUAUAGUAAUGGAAAAUCAAGAAUUAAACUUAAACAUAAGGUCCAUUACAUAUUAACUAAUAGCAAUCAACAACAGUAAAUCUUAUUGUUCUAGUCUUCCCAGGAGUGCAGAUUUCAAGCCCUCAUUAGUUCUGAAUCCAUUAUUAGGAAGUCUAACUACCACAUCUUGAAGCGUGAGCUCGUUAACAGUGGAUAUGCUAGCAUGGUGCACUUGAAAUUCUAGGUCGCGUAGUGCAGCCAAUAACCUAGCACCUGGAUGAUUCACAUUCUCAGAUUGAACCCUAAUCAUGGCUUCAUUACCUAUAAUCAUAACAUCAAUUUCAAGUGCAAACCCAGCUCCACCAGAAUUAUUAGGUCUGGCUUGAUCUACAGAAGUGGUUGUGCUUUGAUUAUCUGUAUUAUCAGCCACUUCCAGUUUCACCCUUUUGGACUCUCUUUGUAGGAGUGACUCCAGUUCAUCUAUUUUGGCCUUCAGUUCAUUUAUAUAGCACACUGCAUCAGAUAGCAGUGAUGCUUUGUCCAUUCUGGACACGUUGGGAACCACCGCUCGCAGGGCGUAGAACCGAUGGUUGAGCUUCUCGCGCCGCUGCCGCUCGGCCUCUACGUGGUUCAGUGCCGUGUCUCUGCCAAGCCCCGGUUUUCUCCCUCUUUUCUUCGGGAUUCUUUUAUUUAUAUUCGCUGCAAUUAAAGGAUAGUCUGAGUCAGAAUGCUCGGAGUCCACAUAGGACACGCCUGCUUUAGCAUUCUCUUUCUUUGCUUCGUCUUCUUGUGCGAACUUCUCUUUAGGGGCUGCAUCUUCUCCUUGUAUUCCUGCAAUUAUGCCCAUAUGAGCAAAAGAAAUGUUCAUGUCGAGUAACUGGAUGGGUGCUGCGGCGGGAUUGGGAUUUUUGGGCAUCAGACCGUCGGGAUCUGACCCAAGGAGAGACUUGGCUUGUUCGACAAGGCCCCAGUUCUCUCUGAUCAUAUCAGAUGAGCCCAAUUCAAGAACCCCAUUACACGUAGGUAUGCAGACCAAGGUUUGAAGGCCAUGCAUUCGUGCCUCUUUGGCUCUUUCACAGUUGUAGAAUUGGAGUUCCUGACCACCUGUUAACCACACCAAAGAAGCAGUGCUAAGUGCCUUCCCAGGAAUACCAUCUCCGGCGAAGAAAGAUCGAGUGAGGGACAUCACAUAGAACCAUUCAACGUCAUUGACAUCGCUGUUGUCCAUCAUGGACACAUCUAUGUCAUGGCUUUCGCCGAUGAGAGCUUGGAUUCCCUUGACGACUCUUUUCCUCUCGGAGUUGAAGGUUGGAAUGCGCUGUUCGCGGUGGUUGUUGAUGGUGGUUAGUUUUGGGGAUGAAUCUGUGGUGCCUUGGAAAUGGCCAUCUGCAAAGGAGAGGAAGAUGCGGCCAGUUUCAUCAUUUGAUGUUUGCCAGAAUAUAGCAUAGGUCCACCAGUCAGGCUGGCUUUGGAGCAAGAAUUGGAGCUUCUGUUGGAGAGUGGGUGGGAUUUCUUGGGAUGAAGGGACUAGAGAAGAAGAUGAAGAUGGAGAUAUGAUAAGUUCCUCCAUGGCUUCUGAAUUCUGAUUGUGAAUCAGGGCAAGCAAGCGUAGCACUGCAAUGUUUUGAGAAAAAUGAGACAAAAUAGGAACAAACCUAUAUAGAGGACUAAGAGGAGAAAUGUCUUUCUUGGUACAAGGAAGCCAAGACUUGACAAAAUCAAAGCUACUAUAACAAUUUGAUAGGAUAGGCUACGCAAAAAACAAAAUUUAAAUAAAUAAGAGAAACACCUUUUGCAGUGAUUAGAAGCUCUAGACGAUAAUAGAGAGGGGACUGGGGAGGAAGAAUGGGAAG